rnacentral:sRNA from 1 species
AGUGAACUUCGUUUGCAGUGGAAAUCCUUUUAUGAAGUAUAGGCGGAAUAAAAGAUUGCAACGGAUAGCCCGACCUUUU